GGGAUCUUGUUGGAGUUCCCUGCAUAUCUGAGGCCUUUUGAAGGACCUUGCUGCUUUGCUGUUGUUGCUGCGCUUUCCAUUGUGUUGCAUCACUGUCCCAGAAUGUGGAGGUGUGCUCUCUUCUGGUGCAAGCAAAGCCAUGUGAAUGAGUGAUCAGACUCCAACAAAGCUGGAAAUAGGGGCCUUGCAGAAUCUGGCAAAGUGACAUUCAGUGACUGCACUGUUGAAAGACAAGCAGGCGUGAUUGAGCCAGCUGCAUUCUGCUAUUCAGCUCCAUCGGUGCCAAGAGUCCCUGGAGUAUUUCCGUUGUCUCUCUGGAAAACAUUGCAGCCUUUGUCUUCAUCAAUCUCCUUGUCCCGCUGUGCUGGGGCUGAGCAGUAUGGUACCUUUGGCUGCCCAAACCCUGAUCAGCUAAUGCAGCUGGCUGCCCUCUCUCCAGGCCCUGCAGGUGACCGUAGGGCUUUGGAUACAGACAGGGUUCAACGAGGAUUUUACUGAGAUGUCAGGUGCUGUGGAUGGGUGAUACUGGGAGAGAUGCGGAGAAUGCCUCCAUCUGUUGCUGUGCUUGGAGCCCUGCGUUGCUUCCUUCUAGAUUAAAUACACAUAUAAGGACAGAAAAAAAAAAAAUAGAUCAGAAAACCAACAGUUUUUUUUCUGCUACUAUUACUGGUUGAGUGCUAGGGAUGCACUGCGUGCUGGACCUGCUCUCAGCCACUCCCAGGCCUGCUGAAAUACCAGCUGUGGGCUGCUGAAAAUCAUCUGUACUUGUGCAGCUGCCUGUCUGAAGACUGCAAAAGAAACAUCAUUGGCAGAGAAAAAGGAAAAAAAAAAGAGGAAAAAGAAACUCUGGGGUAAAAAAAAGUCCCAACAAAAAAUUGUUGACAUGGUUUUUCAUUAAGUUCUCAUUUCAGAGUACGGGACUUCCCUGAAAUCAGUGAGCAUGCCCAUGAGCUGGGUAGUUUCCUCUUUCUGGCUCUGGAUGAGAGUUCCCAAACUGUUUCUCGCACAAAGAACACAUCCCUUAAUUUUAAUUACCAGUUAAACCUAACUUUUACCUUGUUAAUUUGGUCCGAAUCUCUUUUGUUCUGUUCUUUUGGUCUUCGGCAGAUGUGACCUUAAUACCAUCCUAUGGCUGUAAAUAGAAACUCAUCUUCAAUGUAUUUAUCCACAUUGCUCUUUGGAAAUCAUUUCCAGAACAGAGUGAGACGACCUUUAGUUAGUACUUAUGAUUUAGCUGUAACUAGGACUAGUAAAAUCCUAUGUGCCCAUUUAUUAAACCACCUCCGCAGGUACAAUCAUACUGGUGCCCUUCACCCUUCAAAAAAUAAAAUGAGAUUGAAAUGAGGGAGUUAGAACAUCUCCCUCCUCCAGGUUCUGAAAUCUGCAGUAUAAGCUGCAUGUUGCUAGUCAGACCUUGCUGUGUAAGUGUGGAAUAUUUGCUGUUAGAAACAGAAUCUUCUUGAUUUGGAAAGCCAAGCAGAGUUCGAAAGCAAAUAUGAUUUGUGAAACCUGGUGUCCAUCUGUCAUUGAAGGCAGGAGUGAUGCCUCGUUAGGCUCACAGCAUUUCUUGUUCUUCCUUUUUCUUCCCAAGGUUAUUUGCACGUCUUUCUUUGUAUUUAUUGACGUAUAGCGAGGUGUUUCUGAACAGUGCAUUUUCCCACUUAGCACAAGAAAAUAAGCUGACAUUUAAGUUUUCGUUUGUACCGAAUGUUGUUUUGAUAAGAAAGGUACCGUCGUGGAAAGGUUACAUCCCUCUCCCAUUCCCUUUCCCAUCUUACUUAACUUCUGAUGGCAGAAAUAAUGAGAUUUCCUCGGAAUUCACCAAGGACGCUUUUGUGGACAGAUUAGAAUCUCCUGAAGAUGCUCUGCAACUUUGCUGUUCUGGGCUCGGGGAAUGGAGGGGACAUAACCCCAGGUGAAGGCUGAC